rnacentral:rRNA from 1 species
UGGGGAAUUUUGGACAAUGGGCGCAAGCCUGAUCCAGCCAUGCCGCGUGUCUGAAGAAGGCCUUCGGGUUGUAAAGGACUUUUGUCAGGGAAGAAAAGGACAGGGUUAAUACCUCUGUUUGAUGACGGUACCUGAAGAAUAAGCACCGGCUAACUACGUGCCAGCAGCCGCGGUAAUACGUAGGGUGCGAGCGUUAAUCGGAAUUACUGGGCGUAAAGCGAGCGCAGACGGUUACUUAAGCAGGAUGUGAAAUCCCCGGGCUCAACCUGGGAACUGCGUUCUGGACUGGGUGACUAGAGUGUGUCAGAGGGAGGUAGAAUUCCACGUGUAGCAGUGAAAUGCGUAGAGAUGUGGAGGAAUACCGAUGGCGAAGGCAGCCUCCUGGGAUAACACUGACGUUCAUGCUCGAAAGCGUGGGUAGCAAACAGGAUUAGAUACCCUGGUAGUCCACGCCCUAAACGAUGUCAAUUAGCUGUUGGGCAACUUGAUUGCUUAGUAGCGUAGCUAACGCGUGAAAUUGACCGCCUGGGGAGUACGGUCGCAAGAUUA